rnacentral:rRNA from 1 species
AACAAACGCUGGCGGCGUGCCUAACACAUGCAAGUCGUACGAGAAAGUCGGCUUCGGCCGAUGAGUACAGUGGCGCACGGGUGAGUAGCGCGUGGGUAAUCUGCCCCCCGGUCAGGAAUAACCCGCCGAAAGGCGGGCUAAUACCCGAUAACACUGACGCUCCGCGGAGCGUCUUUCAAAGAAGGCCUCUGUUUACAAGCUUUCGCCGGAGGAUGAGCCCGCGUACCAUUAGCUAGUUGGCGGGGUAAAUGCCCACCAAGGCUAUGAUGGGUAGCUGGCCUGAGAGGGUGGUCAGCCACACUGGGACUGAGAUACGGCCCAGACUCCUACGGGAGGCAGCAGCUAAGAAUCUUCCUCAAUGGGGGAAACCCUGAAGGAGCGACACUGCGUGCAGGAUGAGGGCCCUUUGGGUUGUAAACUGCUUUUGCAGGGGAGAAAUAACCGAAUGGGAUGAUAGUACUCUGCGAAUAAGUCCCGGCUAACUACGUGCCAGCAGCCGCGGUAAUCG